ACUCAAAUGAAUAGACGGGGGCCCGCACAAGCGGUGGAUUAUGUGGUUUAAUUCGAAGCAACGCGCAAAACCUUACCUGGGUUUGAAAUCCUACGAAUCCUGCAGAGAUGCGGGAGUGCCCUUCGGGGAAUGUAGAGACAGGCGCUGCAUGGCUGUCGUCAGCUCGUGUUGUGAAAUGUUGGGUUAAGUCUCGCAACGAGCGCAACCCCUGUCCUUAGUUGCCAGCAUUAAGUUGGGCACUCUAGGGAGACUGCCAGGGUUAACCUGGAGGAAGGUGGGGAUGACGUCAAGUCCUCAUGGCCCUUAUGUCCAGGGCUACACACGUAAUACAAUGGCCAGUAUAGAGGGACGCAAGCCCGCGAGGGGAAGCUAAUCUCAAAAAGCUGGUCUCAGUCCGGAUUGGAGUCUGCAACUCGACUCCAUGAAGUUGGAAUCGCUAGUAAUCGCCGAUCAGCACGCGGCGGUGAAUACGUUCCCGGGCCUUGUACACACCGCCCGU
rnacentral:rRNA from 1 species